UAUGCAGCAGAGGGGUGACCCACGAAGGAAGCAACAUUUGGGGUGCGGAGAACCCAGGGCUCCAGGAAGGGCCGGGCUCUGAGCCGGAGAGGGGGCCACACCCGAGCAGGCCGAGGGGGAGCAGCAGCCAUGGCCAGUGAGGUCCGUGCAUGUGGACCAGGGCCAGCGGAGACCCAGCUCUCCCCACUUCGAGAAAAGCAGCGCCCUGCUGAGAGCAUGGGAGCACCAAGCCACGCUGACAAAAUGCAGAGGAUUUGGAACCAAAGCCAGUGACCUGAUACGGAAGUGCGGUCAAAACACAGGAAGUUCUGUGGCCCUGUAGCACCAGCUUUGGGGAUUCACCUCUCACGUGCCUUUGGAAUCUUGAGACACUGGGGCCAGAACACACCGAGAAUUAUUUGGGUGAAGCUUCCUGCUUCGCUAGCAACAGUUAUUUAGAUGGAAUCACUAUAAUUACUUCUUCCCCAAAAAUAUAUUAGAUGCACAACAAAAACUUCAAAAACAAUAGUAGGUAUGAUGGACGUUAUAUCGAUAGAAUGUGAUUUGUGGUACUAAUUACUGAGAUUUCUUUUGAGGCAUUGAUACAAUCGGUAUACAAUUUUCUAAUGAGCUGUUACAUUUUCAUGGACUUUUAUACCCUUCCUUGCAGAGCCAUAAGGAAAGUCAGUUGAUCAGAGCAAUUUCUUCAAGAAUCUGCCUAUUACACCAGGCGUGUUGGCACAAGUCUAUGAUCCCAGCACUCUGAGAGGCUGAGGCAGGAGGAUCCCAAAUUCAAGACCAGCUUAGGCAAUUAGCAACUUAGCCGGACUAUUUCUCAAGAUAAAAUAGAAACAUAAAAACAGAGCUGGAUCUAUAGCACACUCUCGAGGCCCUGAAAUCAAUCUCCCAAACAUUUCCCUUCCUAUUGUUAUACCGCCAGAUCCCACGGUCCCAAAAGUCAAAAGGAACCCUGAAGCAUGCUCACGCAAUGAAUUAUGGAUGCAUAAAAAGCAGUGGUCCUUACGCUUGGGUAAUGAAUCGGCCUGGCAGACGAAUGUUCUUGUGAACAGAUUAAUUUUUUUCUCUAUGCUUGGUGCAUAAAACAGAAGUUUUCCCCACACAAGCACACUUUCUAAAAGCACCAAGCCCCUGUCAUUUGACAGUUACAUCUGGGUCAUUUUUAUUUCUUCUUCCGGAUUACAUGGGAAAGAUGUGCAUUUGCCCUGGGUAUUUGUGCAAAUGUUUUAAACCUUUUUUCUCACGCUGAGGUUGGUGUGGUUUAGAGCUAUUCAGAUAAGGGAGAGACAGGGCUGAAGAGACAAAAGUCUGAACUAGUUUGUUUAAAACUGCGGAAAUCAGAAUAAACAUCUAAAGGUAUUUUAAGUUUCCGGUCACCUGUGAGAGUUGAAACAGCAGUUCCAAAAUCUGUCAGGUUUCUGAGGGAAUCUCAUGUUUUCUCAGAAAAAUGUAUGAACCUGAGAAGGAAAAUAAUGUAUUUGACACAUUUAGCAGACUCUAGUUGUCCCGGUAAGCGCACCUGUCCGUAGCGCCGCCUAGUGGUCAAGGUGGUUUUAUAAAUACUACGGUGCUGCUGAACAGCAAUUCGGUUGUUCUGGGACUUCGACACUAGACGGCAAUAGAUUUCCUUUGAAAGGGGCUUUGAGAAUCUUAAUAGCUGGAAGAAAAAAAUAGAAUAGGUGUACACUUGUCCAAAAGUAGGGGAAAAUUGCCAUCCUUUUUUACAAUAGACUUUGCAGCAGAAGGCAGUCAUAUAAAAAGACCCGUUUUUGUACUUUUUGUCAGUUCUCCGCUAGAAGCAGAAUAUUCUACAGCUUCCUGUUUCCUUUAUGAUAGAUCUCAGAUUUUCUCACCCUCCUGAAAGUCCUGAGACAACUACGACACAACCCAGCUGUGCCGGCUCUGCAUCAAAAGUUAGUCAUUAACAAGACUCUAAUAAAUAAAGGGCUGGGGGCCGAAAAGCCAACGAGAAAUGCACCGAGUGAGCUUGUCCGCCUGCACCCCGUUGUCGAUGACCAGAGAAGACACACACGUGGUGUCGAGGACUGACGCCCAUCUGCUUUCUUCCUCUCCCGAGGCGAAGGACUCUUCCUCGCUCAGCGUGGUCAUCCGGAAGCAACCACCCCACCCUGACACAAGAGUGCACAUGUGAGACCCAGCGAAGAACUUCCUUAGCGCUGCCACCGCCUCAGAAUGCAAGGCAGCCAGCAGCUGCGCCUUCUCCUUUAUGACAUGCGUCUCCUCCCUAGUCCACAGCACACCCACGUCUCCCAAAAUUGUCCAGGGAGUGCAGCACGCAGCAGUCAGCGAAGCGUGAAGCCUGCCUCUCCGUGACAGACUAACUUCUCCUGCAGGGUCUCGCUGCCCACUGGGCUUGGAACGAGAGUAGGGGAUGCCCGCUCCCUUGACCUGAGACACAGACCCUUCCUUCAGGACCAGCACUCAGGUCGUGACAGGACUGGAGGCUUAAACAAGUCCUGACUGAAUGGAGAAAGGAAGUGUGGACCUCUCGGGGGAGUGGUCGCACUGGCUCCACGGGUGGAUAUGCAGUCACUGUCUGCUAAGAGUCUGCUCCCCGGGGCCAGAGGGUGGCACCCUGACCUUUACCCUUAGCUGGACGAAGCAGAAGGGCAGGGUCCUGGCGCUCCGUAAACACGGCAAGUAAGCACCGUGCUGCUCUUCCUAACAGAAAGGACACAGCUCCUGGCGCUGCUGUGAGCCGGGACGUCCGGCUGGGAUGGGCUCGGGGGGGACAGGCUGCACUGCCACAGCCCUGCCCCAGGGCGGCCUCAGCCACGCAGAGGACACGCGCCCUGCCCCUGUUCCUGCUGCGCCCAGCAAGGCGGUCACGGAGCAGCUUCCUUUCCAGAGGGACACUUCCGGUCCUGGUCUUCACUUCGCCCUGCGGUGAGGUUGGAUAGCAACUGUGGGAAGAGGAAAUCAGGCUUCUGGGGCAACGCCACACUAUAGGCGUAUUCCAUAGGUGUCUUCCUUCCAGCUUUGUGAAUUUCUGAAUGUGUCUCAGGACAGUUCCACAAAAAAACAAAAAGCCGAGAGAAGUGAGAAGUCCCACCUGACAGGACAGAGGAGCCGCUCCUUGGACUAAUUAAAAUAAGACAGUAUCACCUCGUGCGAUUAUUUUCCAGAAAAUAGCUGACGUGCACACACUGCGCCUGGCAGAAUUCCUGGCCAACUGCGCAAGAAUGGUAAUUCCAGGCUGAGAUCAUCUCUUAAAGAAAGAGAAAGACUGAGAAACGGAAUGGGUGAGGACAGAGAGGGAGACAAAGGGAAGUGGGAAGGAAGGAGGGAGAGAGAGAGAACUCUGGACAAAUCAGGAAGUUUUCUCAUUCUGACCAGAUACCUACCCAGUCCUAUAGGAAAGUUGUAUUACAAAGGAGACAAAAUAUUUUUACCAGAUUCAUUAAUGUAAAACAUCCUGGCCUCAAAUUCACAUGAAGAAUCAUAGCAUUAUGCUGUGGUAUGUUGUUUUAGACUUUAAUAAUUGUCCUCAUUAGCAAGGUGACUGUAAGGAGAAGUAGCCAGGAUGAACCUCUUCCGCUUCCUGUGGGUGCUGGAAUCGCAUUCCACCCAUCCCCCAGCCUGGGGACAGCCAACGUGGGCGGGCUGUCACAGCCAGCCAGAGAGCCGACGCUGUCACUGAUGUGGACAGGGCAGACCCCGUCCCCUAGGACGGUCACACAGAGCCAUUUUCCUGAAUCGCUCUGCUCACUGAAUCCCACCAAAAGGCAACCAGGGCAAAUUGGGUUUUUUCAUUUUCUUGUGAUUCAGUUUGGAAUUUUUGACUACCAAGGAUUAUUUUUAAUUCCUGUUACUAAUCCAAGGGAGGAAAAGUAUAAUUAGAGAGUGAAAAUUAUUAUUUGCUGAUGUUUUCACUUAGCAAGAAUAUCAGGAUUUUAGUCCUGAAGAGGAAAUAGAAUUUAUAGUUUGCUUCAGACAUACUGUGGUCCCCAAAAUAUUACUAGGAUUUUAAAAUGUGUUGCUGUUGUUAAUAAUAUUUUCUUUUUUUGUUUAUCUGCACUCCGUUUUGUGAAAUGUUGAGUUCUAAAGAAAUAGAUUUAAAUAACACUUGCAAGUUUUUUGGUUUGGUUUGGUUUGGUUUGGUUUUUCAAUACUGAGGAAGGAGCCCAGGGUCUUUCCCCUGAGCUACAUUCCCAGCCAUUUUUAUAUUUGAGACAGGGUCACUAAGUCACUAAGUUGCCCAGGUUGGACUCAAACAUGUCAUCCUCCUGCCUCAGCCUCCCAAAGUGCAAGGAUUAUAGCUGUGAGCCAGCUGCAUUUGCAGGCUCUAUGAGUUUCUCACCAACAUUAAAGCUGUCCCAGGUAAACUGGAAGGUUAUGUAUAGUUGCAAGAUCUCACACCAAAUUUGUUUUAAAUGCUCAUUCGACAAGACAAGUGCAGGCCACACAGAGAGAAUGGUGGAGAAUUGGGCCAAGUUGAGGCCUCCCUGAGCUUCCCACUUUGUUCUCUUUCGGAAACUUCAAUUAACAGGGAGGCCGAAACACCACACUACCAGGGGUGAAGUAGGAUACGGAAUAAGCAUUUUAUUAACUUAUAAUCAAUAGUGUCAAAAUUGUUCACAUUAACUCUUUUAGGUCUAAAGAAGAUAAAGUAUUAUCCAUGCCAUGCCAUUGUUUCUAUGUUUUCCUUUUCUAUAGAGAUUAUUCUGUCCUUAUAAAUAACAAGCAGGAAAAAAAUCCUUCCAUUUAGGUGCCGUCUAAAUCGGCAAGGUGGAAGUAAACUUUUACUAACCUUUUAGCUCUAUCAUAGUCAAAAAGAAAAAACAGUCUCGGGAGAUAAACUUCUGAUAGGAUAUCUUUAAAUAAAGUUAGCUAUGUCAUGUCAUUUUUCCCUGAAUAAAUGUACUUCGUCAAAUUUUCUUGCAAA